GUCAGUCUGAUGGUUACUUGGUUGCAGAAGUUUACUGGCCAUUGCUGUUGUCAUGGAGAUAGUCUAGGUUGAAUGCAAACAUGCCAUUCUGAUGUCAUGUGUGAUGUCACAAAGAGGAUAUGCUUUAAGUCUUGGUAAAGCCAAAAGCAGUUAACAGUCAGACUGCAUCUCAGCACUGUCAAGAUGGAUCUCCAUAAUAGAGUCGCCAUCUUGCUGGGGUCCAUUACUGUUGUUGUUUCCUGUAUUUGAAACCCUCCUGAGCUUUCCUAGGACAUGAGGUCUCCUCACCAUCUCACUGACAAGUAUUACCAGAUAGCUUACCACUACUCCCUCAAUAAAGAAACAGUUCAGCUCUUUAA